rnacentral:pre_miRNA from 11 species
GCUUGGCCCUUCGUGUUCACAGUGGACCUUGAUUUCAUGUGGACACAAUUAAGGCACGCGGUGAAUGCCAAGAGCCCAGCC